UUACUGGUAUUGGAGUUUUUUUUUCAAUGGUCCAUUUUACUCAAACGAGUAAGUUUGUUGGUUUUAUUCUAGAAAACCACCAUGGAAGAUUAAUAUAUAUUAUGUUCUCCUAUUAGUAGACUAAUUUAUGAAAAAUCCUAGAUCAUGUUAAUUUUUUUGGUUCACCUUGACAAAUAUAUGCAAUGAGUUUGUGAUGUUCCAGUUAGCUUUUAGUGUUGCUUCUUUGCCAAUUAUAUUCUUUGUAAUGAUUGGAAAAGUAUCUCCAAGCUCUAGAUUGGUAAUGAGUUUAUAAGUUCUCGCUUACUUGAAACGUGUUUAAUCUUCUUUUUGUUGCGAAAAGCAGCUUCACGGUUGGUAUGGGAGCUAUACAGAGGCAACUUCAACAAUCUCCGUAUUGAAUGAGAUAUAAAAAAUCUCACGGAACAGCACUACUGCAAUUCGUUUGUUUAAAGCAGCACUCAAUGCAGUCCAUUAUGGGCAUGCCGGACUCCAGGUAACCUUUUUCAACUACCUUGCUUAUUUGUAGUGACAGACUCGAGCAGUGCAUCGGUUUAGAAAUUAAGUCUUUGCUGCUAAAGGAAUGGAUGUCUCGCAGCAGUGCAUUGAUUGUUGGAGGCGGCAGUAAGUUCAUUUUCUCUAUAGGAAACUCCAUCAUCUUGGGAGCUACCGAGUUAUUCAACUUUGUGUCUCAGCUAAUGGUUUUCAGUUCGGUUAUGUACAUUCUAAUCACAUCAGAAUCAGGUGGUAAGACUGAGUAAUUCAUGAACAUGCUCCCGAUCAACCACUCCGCUAGCGUCAGAUGCGUUGAAGUGUUGGGCUUUAGCCAUCUCUGGCGUCCUUUUAGCCACAGCGGAGAUCGCAUUCUUCCAAGGAUGUCUCGCUUGGCUAUGGUUAGGCUAAUACAAUAUACAUUCCCUUUAUCGUUGGACUGACUAUGUUUCCUUCUACUCUCGAGGUAACAAAAUAAAGAUUGGAUCUUCAAGAAUUUUAUGUUGGAGAUGUUAUAAUGUCUUUUUGGUGUUUGUUUUAUUGGAGGGAGGAAUAAUGAGACUGUUGAAAACAACGGUGGUGAUUGCGUUGAAGGAUCUGUAAGCAGAGUUUGUUUUGAAUGAUCCUAAGAAGACCAAUUAGCUGUUGCUUUCAAGUGAUGCCAUGGCUGCUGCUUUGUAUUGUGAGAAGAAUCAUGUAGAUUAGUUGAGAAAGAUAAAGAUUAUAAAUUGUUUAUGGUUUUAAUCUAGUCUUUUUUUUUGGAAUGUUACGUAGUGUGCAGCGAGAGAUGUGUAGCAUGAAAUUUCAAUUGUUAUGUUAUACUUAUAUUGUAUGUGAUCCGAUUCAUUAAGGAAAACGUGUAAAAGUGUUUGCUGAUUAA